rnacentral:pre_miRNA from 1 species
AGUGGAAUUGCUGGGUUGUCGAGUAACUUUAUGUUUAGCUUUUUGAGAAACUGCCAAACUCUUUUUCAAAAUGGCGGCACCAUCUUUUAGUUCCAUCAGUAAU